rnacentral:lncRNA from 1 species
AGGUGGUAGAUGAGAGAAAAGAGAGAAGAGAAGGAAAAGGGAAAAGACGAAAGGAGAAAGGGAAGAAUGGAAUCAAUGAAAGGAAAGUGAAAGAUAAGGAUUGGGGAGAAAGAUAAAGAGGAGAGCAGGCAGGUGUGAGAAAAGACACAUGAGGAGGAGGAGGAGGAAGAGGAGGAGGAGGAGGAGGAGGAGGAGGAGGAGGAGGAGGAGGAGGAGGAGGAGGAGAAGGAAAGUGUUUACCUGCGAAGAAAACCCAUUGAACCGUGAACACACACACACACACACACACACACACACACACACACACAGAGAGAGAGAGAGAGAGAGAGAGAGAGAGAGAGAGAGAGAGAGAGAGAGAGAGAGAGAGAGAGAGACUUUUAGAUUUUUUAUAGCGAUGUUGACACUGAGACGCUGUGGAGAGAGAGAGAGAGAGAGAGAGAGAGAGAGAGAGAGAGAGAGAGAGAGAGAGAGAGAGAGAGAGAGAGAGAGAGUAAAGACGUAAAGUAACUCUAAAGAUUAGUGUUGAUUUCCAUGUACGCACACGCAAGCACACACACACACACACACACACACACACACACACACACACACACACACACACACACACACACACACACACACACACACACACACACACACACACACACACACACACACACACACACACACACACACACACACACACACACACACACACACACACACACACACACACACACACACACACACACACACACACACACACACACACGAAUCCUCCGACCGGAAACGAAGUGUUGGUCUGGUUCCAGCCACUGAGCUGCCUUCAUAACGAAAGACAAAGCAACACAGACACACACACACACACACACACACACACACACACACACACACACACACACACACACCCUCCAGCCGGGAGUUGGGUGUGGCUCUGAGUCUAGCUGGGCGGCUCCCCCCUUGAUGACGUCACAUAUAUACGUUACGCAAUUCAUUUUGAAAAUGAGGAUUCCCAAAAAGGCAGCUGGAGACAAAUGUUAUAAAAAUUCUGGCUUGUUAUCAAUCAAAACAAAAUAUUAAAAUAUAAAAAUAUUGCCAGGAUGAAGAAUAAUAAAAAUAUUUUUAAAAACAUAUUAAAUAAAGUAUUGGAACAUCGACAUGCUUAUAAACAAUUUUAAAGCCCACCAAUUUCAUUCAGCAAGGUCGAUAACGUUUUUUAAAAAUUAUAACUAUUAUUUUCAUGCAUCAAAACCUGGCAACACGCAGAAUUAAAAAAAUAAUUAUUUUGAAAAUUACGUUGUUUACAAUAUUAACAGGGAUACAUACUAAUUUUAAAGUCCACAUAUUCAACUUUUCAGGAGCCUUGCACACUUUUUUCAUCAUAAGGAUAUUUUUAAAAACACAAAUACUUCGCUAUAACCUAAAAUAAAAAAUCACAGAUACCUGGAGGGAAAAUUUUUACGUAUUUUUGCCCUCUCAUUGAAGUCCUAAACACACUCCAAAUCACCGCGCUUCACUCAACUCAAACAUGGAAGACACGUAAAACACAACGAACUAUCAUUAGAAACCCUUAAAAGGUACUUGUGACUCGAAAUAAAUUAACGGAGAUAAAUAUGUAUACAAUAGUGGAAGUCGAUGAUCUGGGACCGGCAGAGCAUUUUGGCGGAAGCCGCUGAUGACGUCACGGCCCGGCCUCUUCUCUUCACUGGGCUUCCAUAACAUACAAAUCAGGUAAUUGCAGAUAAUUUCAACAACGUACAUGAAAGAUUAGGGCUAUGGCUCCACUUUGUGACCUGGCUGGCCUGUAAUGAGUAAGAGAUGAGACAGAUAAUGGCUGAGAGAGAGGCAGGGGGUCGGUGGAUUGGUUUGUUGACGUAUUGAACACUUGGGUUAUUCGGCUUUUCAAGUAUCGACAUGCGUUAGUACACUGAUAUGUUGUCCUGUUGUGAGGCUCUGAUAUGGCAGCACUGUGGAAUGAUGAGCUAAACCAAUGUAUUACUUACGUUAGCAAAGACUGUUUGGCGGCGGCUGUCCGUGUCACCAGCGGGUCCAGUGACCCACCCACACACCGCUGUCCUCUUUUGUGUCCUCAACAGUAUAUAAAUAGGAAACCUCUGAUUACUGAGAGGCUACCCACUAUUUUCUUCGUUGUUAUUAAUGCGCCUUCGCCUCUCUCACCACCAGCACUGAGUCCUGCCAAGCUGCUCAGUGCACAGUGCUCACAGCCUCACACACAAACUUAUGGCUAGCCGGACAAGAUGACAACCGCGAAUCGCGACCCCUUUGCACGGAAGGCGUUUGGCAUUCGCCACAGUCAACAGGAAUACAAUAAUGUCUUUACAUAUGUAUACAUAUGAUAUAUCAACAAAUAGGUACACUCACAUAUGUAUGUUUGUAAGUAUGUAUGUAUGUACGUCGGCUCCCCACUUAAUGAAGCAGUUUUCUUACCUUUAUUUCAAACAAAAGUGACAUCUGUCAUGGUUUUUUCAUGGCAGUUGUCAUUGGCAACAGCUGUUUUGACGUAGGCCAGCUGGCCUGUCUGGCUGUCAUUUUAUUCCGUACGUGUGUAUGUAUGUAUAUAUCAAAAGGAAACAAACCAGGCAUAUGAUGAACAGUGAAGUAUUAAAGAACGAUGUUUUAUAUAUGUGUAAGUAUGUAUAUAUUUCGAAUGAUGACUUGAAAGAAUCUCGCGCGUGUACACACACACACACACACACACACACACACACACACACACUACAAAAAAAUAGUUUUCGCAAUACAGAUCCAUGAAAUACACAAACAAGGUAAAUAUUAAGUGUGUAGGGUGGGGAGGGGGGAGGAGGAAAAGGGGAGGUAUACGCACGUGUUUAAAGAUCCAACUAUUAACAAGCGCGCGGGUUGUUCGCUAAUCUUCUCUCAAGCUAAAUUUUAUCGUUAUCUAUUUAACGUCUCUCCCACUCCCUCCUACCACCCUCCCUGUGUGUCCCCUAGCCCUCCUUGCUGACCCUGAGUUCUUGUACCUUCAUUAAACAACAAGAAACUACCCAGUACAUACACACCUACUCAGCGGCCGACAGUAUACCACCCCUCUGCCUCACUACUUUCCCUCAUUUCACCAUCUUAUACUCACCAUACACGGCGGGAAUUUCCACAGGAGCACCAUGGAUACACUAUCACUCUUCACACACACGCACAACAUAUUAUCAACACUGAAUUACGUAAAAAAGAAGAUUAUACAAGCAGUGCCCGCCAGCUUGCCCGUGUUCCGUCUGCUCGUCACCUCGUCUGACAUAAGGCGGGGAACUCCCUUGCGUUUGAAAUACCCCUUAAUUUUCUUUCAAUUUCCUGCGUGCAAUUUGCCUUAUUCUCGUUAUAUACACUUUGAAUAUGUCUUUUAUUUCAACUGUUCUCCUCACACACGUUAAAGUAUUAUCUAAGGCGCGGAACUCUCUUGCGUUUGAAACACCGCACUUAAUUUUCUUUCAAUUUUCCGCAUGUAAUUUGCCUUAUUCUCGUUAAAUACACUUUAUAUAUGUUUUUUAUUUCAACUGUUCUCCUCACACACGUUAAAAUAUUAGUAUUUUUUCCAUAUAUUAUCAUGUCUACCUACCCGUAGUGUUAAUUCUAAUGGUAUAUUGCUUUCCCUCACCUCAAUAUUCCCAAUCUGUCCAUUUACUAUUAUUCUUGAAGGUUCUAUGCAUUCAGUUGUUGUAUUAGUUAAUAGAAAUAUAUAAAACGGGCAAGAAAUUAAAGGUUGAUAUCAUUUUUAAGUGGUUCCAUGAGAUGCCAAGACUGUCAUAGUUUAAUUUGGUGGAUAUUUUCAAGCCUGGACCAACAGAGGCAUAAUAUUAGCUAUGGAUAAGGUGCGAGAGUCUUCACGUUCACAGAAAAUAGUGUAAGGAAAUAAGGGAAGCUGUGAGAAGCAACCAGACUUGAAUAUACCAACCCUUGUAUGAAAUAUUGUUCCAAGUAUGUUUAUUGAGUAUUAUGAAGCUUGGGCAGAUAAUAUAUUGGACAGAGAGGUAUGAGAGUUGCAGGAAAGUCACGUAAAUAUAAAAAUAGAUAAUAAUCUUGAGAGGAAUGAGAAGGAAAUUAUAUGUAUGGAUGAGUUACCAUGAAAUAACUUGAGGAAGGGCCAGGUAAAGAAUUCUGGUGCUAAUCUGGAACAUGGUGACUACAGAACCUUGACACCAUGUACAGUCCAUUUUUCCAUAUCUACACUGCAUAGGAAACCAGAGAAGAAUCUGAGAAUAGUUAUAGAGACUCAGCAAAACACACCAUGCAGUUUUUUUCUCCAUCUCCAUCAUAUAAAGUUCCAAUGACAGUGUGAUAUGAGAGAAGUCUUGGGUUAGAAUGAAGGCAAACUGGAUACAAAUUGAGUUAUUAAGCCUGUGUAACUAUAACUUUAGGCUGAUUCUCUUUACAUGUGUCUGUAGUGGAGUGUGGUGAAAGGCAACCAGUGUGUUAAUACAUGUGUGAGAGGAGGGAGAUGAGAAGGAAGGAAGAGAGUAACCAGUGAGAAAUGUGUUAGCCAGUGUCAGUGUCUGAGAGGAGGGAGAUGAGAAAGGAGGCAGAAAGUAACCUGUGUAAGGAAUGAGUUAGCCAGUGUUGAGUGUGUAAGAGGAGAGAGAUGAGAAGGAAGGCGGAAAGUAGACUGUGUACGAGGGAUGAGUUAGCCAGUAUGUUGAGCGUCUCAGAGGAAAAAUAUGGGAAAAGAAGGCAGAGAAAGGCAGAGAGUAACCUGUGUGUGAAGGAUGAGUUAGCCAGUGAAUGUAAGAGGAGAGAUAAGAAGGGAGACAGAGAGUAACCUGUGUGUAAGGGAUGAGUUAGCUAGUGUGAGAGUGUAAGAGAAGAGGGACAAGAAAGUAAGCAAAGAGUAGCCUGUUAUUGAUUGUGUCUGAGAGAGAGAGAGAGAGAGAGAGAGAGAGAGAGAGAGAUAUGGAAAGCAGAGAGUAACCUGUGUGUGAGGGAUGAGUUACCUAGUGUGAGAGUGCAAGAGAAGAGAGACAAGCAAGCAAGCAAAGAGUAGCCUGUUAUUGAUUGUGUCUGAGAGGAGAGAGAGAGAUGAAAAGCCGAGUAACCUGUGUGAGAGUCAAUAAUACGUGUUCAUCCUGCAUACUUGUCAAACCAAAGUAUUUCUAAGCAGCCUCAGCUUUGUAUCACUGGUGGGAAGUCCUAUGUGUAAGUUUUCAUGUGUUGUAGAUGCACAAAGGAAAGUACUUUAUAUUUUGUGUACAGAGUUAAAAUGAAUCUAAGCUAUAUAAUAAACUGAAUAUUGAACAA